UGGUGUGGCUCAACGGUAGAGCAGCUGAUUUGUAAUCAGCAGGUUGGGGGUUCGAUUCCCUCCACC
rnacentral:tRNA from 1 species